rnacentral:rRNA from 1 species
GAUGAACGCUGGCGGCGUGCCUAAUACAUGCAAGUCGAGCGAACGGACGAGAAGCUUGCUUCUCUGAUGUUAGCGGCGGACGGGUGAGUAACACGUGGAUAACCUACCUAUAAGACUGGGAUAACUUCGGGAAACCGGAGCUAAUACCGGAUAAUAUUUUGAACCGCAUGGUUCAAAAGUGAAAGACGGUCUUGCUGUCACUUAUAGAUGGAUCCGCGCUGCAUUAGCUAGUUGGUAAGGUAACGGCUUACCAAGGCAACGAUGCAUAGCCGACCUGAGAGGGUGAUCGGCCACACUGGAACUGAGACACGGUCCAGACUCCUACGGGAGGCAGCAGUAGGGAAUCUUCCGCAAUGGGCGAAAGCCUGACGGAGCAACGCCGCGUGAGUGAUGAAGGUCUUCGGAUCGUAAAACUCUGUUAUUAGGGAAGAACAUAUGUGUAAGUAACUGUGCACAUCUUGACGGUACCUAAUCAGAAAGCCACGGCUAACUACGUGCCAGCAGCCGCGGUAAUACGUAGGUGGCAAGCGUUAUCCGGAAUUAUUGGGCGUAAAGCGCGCGUAGGCGGUUUUUUAAGUCUGAUGUGAAAGCCCACGGCUCAACCGUGGAGGGCCAUUGGAAACUGGAAAACUUGAGUGCAGAAGAGGAAAGUGGAAUUCCAUGUGUAGCGGUGAAAUGCGCAGAGAUAUGGAGGAACACCAGUGGCGAAGGCGACUUUCUGGUCUGUAACUGACGCUGAUGUGCGAAAGCGUGGGGAUCAAACAGGAUUAGAUACCCUGGUAGUCCACGCCGUAAACGAUGAGUGCUAAGUGUUAGGGGGUUUCCGCCCCUUAGUGCUGCAGCUAACGCAUUAAGCACUCCGCCUGGGGAGUACGACCGCAAGGUUGAAACUCAAAGGAAUUGACGGGGACCCGCACAAGCGGUGGAGCAUGUGGUUUAAUUCGAAGCAACGCGAAGAACCUUACCAAAUCUUGACAUCCUUUGACAACUCUAGAGAUAGAGCCUUCCCCUUCGGGGGACAAAGUGACAGGUGGUGCAUGGUUGUCGUCAGCUCGUGUCGUGAGAUGUUGGGUCAAGUCCCGCAACGAGCGCAACCCUUAAGCUUAGUUGCCAUCAUUAAGUUGGGCACUCUAAGUUGACUGCCGGUGACAAACCGGAGGAAGGUGGGGAUGACGUCAAAUCAUCAUGCCCCUUAUGAUUUGGGCUACACACGUGCUACAAUGGACAAUACAAAGGGCAGCGAAACCGCGAGGUCAAGCAAAUCCCAUAAAGUUGUUCUCAGUUCGGAUUGUAGUCUGCAACUCGACUACAUGAAGCUGGAAUCGCUAGUAAUCGUAGAUCAGCAUGCUACGGUGAAUACGUUCCCGGGUCU